GACGAACGCUGGCGGCGUGCUUAACACAUGCAAGUCGAACGGAAAGGCCCUGCUUUUGUGGGGUUCUCGAGUGGCGAACGGGUGAGUAACACGUGAGUAACCUGCCCUUGACUUUGGGAUAACUUCAGGAAACUGGGGCUAAUACCGGAUAGGAGCUCCUGCUGCAUGGUGGGGGUUGGAAAGUUUCGGCGGUUGGGGAUGGACUCGCGGCUUAUCAGCUUGUUGGUGGGGUAGUGGCUUACCAAGGCUUUGACGGGUAGCCGGCCUGAGAGGGUGACCGGCCACAUUGGGACUGAGAUACGGCCCAGACUCCUACGGGAGGCAGCAGUGGGGAAUAUUGCACAAUGGGCGGAAGCCUGAUGCAGAAACGCCGCGUGCGGGAUGACGGCCUUCGGGUUGUAAACCGCUGUCGCCUGUGACGAAGCGUGAGUGACGGUAAUGGGUAAAGAAGCACCGGCUAACUACGUG
rnacentral:rRNA from 1 species